rnacentral:rRNA from 3 species
UACGUAGGUGGCAAGCGUUGUCCGGAAUUAUUGGGCGUAAAGCGCGCGCAGGCGGUCCUUUAAGUCUGAUGUGAAAGCCCACGGCUCAACCGUGGAGGGUCAUUGGAAACUGGGGGACUUGAGUGCAGAAGAGGAAAGUGGAAUUCCAAGUGUAGCGGUGAAAUGCGUAGAGAUUUGGAGGAACACCAGUGGCGAAGGCGACUUUCUGGUCUGUAACUGACGCUGAGGCGCGAAAGCGUGGGGAGCAAACAGG